GACGAACGCUGGCGGCGUGCUUAACACAUGCAAGUCGAACGCUGAACCCGCUUCGGUGGGGGAUGAGUGGCGAACGGGUGAGUAACACGUGGGCAACCUGCCCCCGGCUCUGGGAUAACUCCAAGAAAUUGGGGCUAAUACCGGAUGUGACCGCUGGCCGCAUGGUCUGGUGGUGGAAAGGGUUUCCGGCUGGGGAUGGGCCCGCGGCCUAUCAGCUUGUUGGUGGGGUAGUGGCCUACCAAGGCGACGACGGGUAGCCGGCCUGAGAGGGUGACCGGCCACACUGGGACUGAGACACGGCCCAGACUCCUACGGGAGGCAACAGUGGGAAGUAUUGCGCAAUGGGCGGGAGCCUGACGCAGCGGCGCCGCGUGGGGGAUGACGGCCUUCGGGUUGUAAACCUCUUUCAGCAGGGACGAAGCGGAAGUGACGGUACCUGCAGAAGAAGCACCGGCCAACUACGUG
rnacentral:rRNA from 1 species